CCUACGGGAGGCAGCAGUGGGGAAUAUUACACAAUGGACGCAAGCCUGAUGCAGCCAUGCCGCGUGUAUGAAGAAGGCCUUAGGGUUGUAAAGUACUUUCAGUUGGGAGGAAGGCGUUGAUGCUAAUAUCAUCAGCGAUUGACGUUACCAACAGAAGAAGCACCGGCUAACUCCGUGCCAGCAGCCGCGGUAAUACGGAGGGUGCAAGCGUUAAUCGGAAUUACUGGGCGUGAAGCGCACGCAGGCGGUCUGUCAAGUCGGAUGUGAAAUCCCCGGGCUCAACCUGGGAACUGCAUUCGAAACUGGCAGGCAGGAGUCUUGUAGAGGGGGGUAGAAUUCCAGGUGUAGCGGUGAAAUGCGUAGAGAUCUGGAGGAAUACCGGUGGCGAAGGCGGCCCCCUGGACAAAGACUGACGCUCAGGUGCGAAAGCGUGGGGAGCAAACAGGAUUAGAUACCCCCGUAGUC
rnacentral:rRNA from 1 species